rnacentral:rRNA from 1 species
AACAAACGCUGGCGGCGUGCCUAAUACAUGCAAGUCGAACGGGGAAAGCUUUCGGGUGAGUACUAGUGGCGCACGGGUGAGUAACGCGUGGAUAAUCUGCCCUCGAAUGGGGAAUAACUAGUCGAAAGAUUAGCUAAUACCGCAUAAGACCACGACUACUGAGGUAGUUGGGGUCAAAGGAGCAAUUCGUUUAAGGAUGAGUCCGCGUAAGAUUAGCUAGUUGGUGAGGUAAUGGCUCACCAAGGCGAUGAUCUUUAACUGGUCUGAGAGGAUGAUCAGUCACACUGGAACUGAGACACGGUCCAGACUCCUACGGGAGGCAGCAGUAGGGAAUAUUGGACAAUGGGGGCAACCCUGAUCCAGCGACGCCGCGUGAGCGAUGAAGGCCUUCGGGUCGUAAAGCUCUGUUGUAAGGGAAAAAGUUCUGAUUGUACCUUACGAGAAAGGAUCGGCUAACCUCGUGCCAGCCGCCGCGGUAA